UACCUGUUGGUGGAAGCUGGGAGUGGAUGAGCGAAUGAUGGCAGACCCGGGGCAAAGGCAGGGUCAGGGGUGAAGCUAGAGCUGGAGC
rnacentral:lncRNA from 1 species